rnacentral:rRNA from 1 species
UACGUAGGGUGCAAGCGUUGUCCGGAAUUAUUGGGCGUAAAGAGCUCGUAGGCGGUCUGUCGCGUCUGCUGUGAAAACUCAGGGCUUAACCCUGAGCUUGCAGUGGGUACGGGCAGGCUAGAGUUCGGUAGGGGAGACUGGAAUUCCUGGUGUAGCGGUGAAAUGCGCAGAUAUCAGGAGGAACACCGAUGGCGAAGGCAGGUCUCUGGGCCGAUACUGACGCUGAGGAGCGAAAGCGUGGGGAGCGAACAGG